AGCGAACGCUGGCGGCAGGCCUAACACAUGCAAGUCGAACGAAGUCUUCAGACUUAGUGGCGGACGGGUGAGUAACACGUGGGAACGUACCUUUUGGUUCGGAACAACUCAGGGAAACUUGAGCUAAUACCGGAUGAGCCCUUAGGGGGAAAGAUUUAUCGCCGAAAGAGCGGCCCGCGUUAGAUUAGCUAGUUGGUGAGGUAAAGGCUCACCAAGGCUAUGAUCUAUAGCUGGUCUGAGAGGAUGAUCAGCCACACUGGGACUGAGACACGGCCCAGACUCCUACGGGAGGCAGCAGUGGGGAAUCUUGCGCAAUGGGCGAAAGCCUGACGCAGCCAUGCCGCGUGAAUGAUGAAGGUCUUAGGAUUGUAAAAUUCUUUUACCAGGGACGAUAAUGACGGUACCUGGAGAAAAAGCCCCGGCUAACUUCGUGCCAGCCGCCGCCGGUAACAC
rnacentral:rRNA from 1 species